rnacentral:rRNA from 1 species
GUAGGGUGAACCUGCGGAAGGAUCAUUACCGAGUGAGGGCCCUCUGGGUCCAACCUCCCACCCGUGUUUAUUCUACCUUGUUGCUUCGGCGGGCCCGCCUCACGGCCGCCGGGGGGCACCCGCCCCCGGGCCCGCGCCCGCCGAAGACACCAUUGAACUCUGUCUGAAGAUUGCAGUCUGAGCAGAUUAGCUAAAUCAGUUAAAACUUUCAACAACGGAUCUCUUGGUUCCGGCAUCGAUGAAGAACGCAGCGAAAUGCGAUAAGUAAUGUGAAUUGCAGAAUUCAGUGAAUCAUCGAGUCUUUGAACGCACAUUGCGCCCCCUGGUAUUCCGGGGGGCAUGCCUGUCCGAGCGUCAUUGCUGCCCUCAAGCACGGCUUGUGUGUUGGGCUUCGCCCCCCGGCUCCCGGGGGGCGGGCCCGAAAGGCAGCGGCGGCACCGCGUCCGGUCCUCGAGCGUAUGGGGCUUCGUCACCCGCUCUGUAGGCCCGGCCGGCGCCCGCCGGCGACCCCAAUCAAUCUUUUCAGGUUGACCUCGGAUCAGGUAGGGAUACCCGCUGAACUUAAGCAUAUCAAUAAGCGGAGGA